CUACGGGUGGCAGCAGUGAGGAAUAUUGCGCAAUGGGCGAAAGCCUGACGCAGCGACGCCGCGUGGAGGAUGAAGGUCUUCGGAUUGUAAACUUCUGUUAAGUGGGAAGAAAGACUCAUUCCUAAUACGAAUGAGGGAUGACUGUACCAUUAGAGAAAGCACUGGCUAAUCUCGUGCCAGCAGCCGCGGUAAUACGAGAGGUGCAAGCGUUAUUCGGAAUCAUGGGGCGUAAAGGGUAUGUAGGCGGCGAGUUAAGUCAACUGUUAAAUAUUCCGGCCUAACCGGAAACAUGCGGUAGAAACUAACUUGCUAGAGGAUGGAAGAGAGAAGUGGAAUUCUCGGAGUAGCGGUAAAAUGCGUGGAUCUCGAGAAGAACACCAAUGGCGAAGGCAGCUUCUUGGUCCAUUUCUGACGCUGAAAUACGAAAGCGUGGGGAGCAAACAGGAUUAGAUACCCUGUAGUC
rnacentral:rRNA from 1 species